UAUAUAUGUGUGUGUGUGUGUGUGUGUGUGCGCGCACACACACACACACACACAAAACAAUU
rnacentral:miRNA from 1 species